rnacentral:lncRNA from 1 species
CAAGUUAAUAUUAUACUAUUAAUGGGUCGACUGCUUUAAAGGGGAACACAGAAAAUGACUAUAAAAUCUGUACAUAUUCUACCUUUAAUUUCUAGGGUCUAUCACCAUUAACUGAACCCAAAUAUUAGCAAUAAAGAAUGAGCAAAAAUAUGUACUGAUAUACAACUUUAAGAUUCUAAAAUACUGAUGCAGGAAUGAGAAACCAUAAAUUCCAAAUCAUCAAGGGGCACAUGGGGGGCUUAGUCAGUUAGGCAUCCAACUCUCGAUUUGGGCUCAGGUCAUAAUCCCAGGGUCCUGGGAUUGAGUCCUCCAUCAGGCUCCCCGCUAAGCAUGAAGUCUGCUUGUCUCCCUCUCUCUAUGCCCCUUCCCUGCUGCUCUCUAUAAAAUAAACAAACUUUAAAAAUAAAUAAAAAAUAAAAAUAAAUUCCAAAUCAUUUACCACAGGUUUAAAACAGACUUUUAGAACAAGAUUUCAUACUGAUUAAAUUUAGUAAGUCCUUAGGGAUUAAUUCCUACAUAGUACCAAAACAAUAAUUUUUAAAAAGAAACUACGAUCUCCUAAAGUAAAACAUACACUCUACAGAAUAAUGGUGUGAAUGUUUUUCAAAGGAUAAAACACUAAACAAGUUGGUGAAAGACUGAUCACACUUUAGAGAAAGGGGAAAAAAAGGGAGAGAAAGAAUAAUUUUCUUAUACUGUUUGGGGAAUGAGUUUGAGGAGGAAGGAAGGAACCAGACAGAAAAGAAUGAAUGUCAUGAAGUUCCUGGAAAACAAGCUCAAAAUACAAGAGCUGUUGGUUUGUAGCAUUGGUGUGUAUUUACAAAAACAUUUUAACACUACUAACAUAAGCAGUUUCAAGGUGGGGCACAUGAAAAUGUUUAUACGUUGCUGAAGUGAUGCAGGUGUACCUUUUACAGAGUUAAAAUGGAGUCUGGAGACAAUGAAGGGAGAGUUCUCACUCAGUGGCACUCCAGCAGCUUACUUAGCAUACCUCAGCGGGAAGGCAGAAGAUUCUCUCGCCCAGCAACUGCCCAGCCAGUGAGAAACCACAUGACCUUAGCCAAUAAGACGCCCUCGCAACCUCAAAUUCUCCCUCUGCUCAGAUAAACUUUUGUUCAAAGCAAUCGCUCCCAAUUUCCUUCUUUUCUCUAUAAAGGGAUACUUUUUCCUUCCUUCUUGGGACUUGCCUUAUGGUUUGCCCUAAUUUGCAAUCCCAAAUUGCAAUUCCUCUGCUACUCCUAAAUAAAAAAAAAUUUUUUACUGGUUAAAUAACAAUUUUGUUUUUAAGGUUGACAAAAUUUAUCAAUGAAUUGCUUGAUAUCUAUCAUUUCCUGGUGACAUGAACCAUGCAUCAUGCCUUCAUAGGUUUUUAAGGUUACAUUGGUUAGAUUUACCAAUUUUUUUUUACCUUCCAACAGUAAGAGAACCAACCAUUAUGGAAACCAAAGAGUGGUAAUCUCCAUGGCACAAGAAUAAAAAUAUCUGUUAGCCUUUGAUAGGACUCCAUGGAAUGAAAGCCCACAGGGGAAGUCAGUGAGUACAGGGAUAGCUGCCAGCUUCUGCUGUGUGGUCCAGCAGUACAUAAAAAUAAAGCUCUGCCCUGAGAAAAUCCUCCCCAAAUAAUAAUGGUAAAAGGAAUGCCAUUCUUCACUCCUGUUCUAUCAAAGCUUUCACAUUUUCUGCUAACUCCAGGUUCGCCCUCCUUUGAAUCUGGUGAGAGCCCAAUAAUGUUA